AACACCUAGGGAACUUGUUAAAAUAUAGGUUCUGAUUCAGAGAGUCUGGGAUGUACCCAAGAUUCUGCAUUUCUAACAAGCUCCCAGGUGAGACCCA
rnacentral:pre_miRNA from 1 species